UGCAGGAGGUGAGGGGAACAGGGAGAAUGGGAGCAGGGAAAUAAAGCAUAAGAGACAGCAGAAGGGAAAGAGGGAAGAACUGGAAUUAUAGGAGGUUGGAAAGGAGAUUCGGGGUGUAAAGGAGCAGAGGAGGAAAGACAGCCUGGGCAAAGGGGUCUAAAAACAAAAAGAGCACGCUCAGAGACCAUGAAUUGAACCCAAGAGUCCUGAGUGUCUACAUUACUCUGCUGGUGGCAAAUAGCUGUGAAACCCAGUGGCAAAGUGUGGUCCACAGAGAGGAUGAUAGGCUACUACUUCAAAUGGAAAAGGUCUGUGCUGUGUAUGUAAUGGUGCAUUCCCUAAUGACGUAGAUAAAAUAAAAACUAACUAAAAUAUAGAAAUUUUAUUUUAAUGUAAUUUAUGUUAAAAGAAUGGUAGGUGGCAAUUGAAGCACUCAAAAAUUAGAAAAUACCAGAAUUAAGGAUUGUGCAUAUGCAUUAUGUAUGAGAAAGACUUCAAUUACAUGAAUACAAACUAUUUUUUCCACAUGAUCCCUGCCUCAUUCAGUGCACAGGAUGGCUGGGGCUUGGAAAUCAAUCAAAUGUGUACAUAGUGAAUGGUCUGCAGGACCCUGCCUCAUUCGUUGCAGAAGUUGGAUGGUGUGUAGUGGAUUAGGCAGGGGAUUGCAGGAAAAAUAGGAGUGGCCCCAUAGUUCAGGAAAUUUAUGUCACUCUGAUUAAUUGGAUCCUGUCUUUGUCUCUGCCACAGACUUCAAUGGUUAAGUUUCUUAAACCGAAAUGUUUACAAUUGGCCGCUAAUUGUGUUUUCCUCAUUUUUUCUGGUGCUCCACAUGAGAUUUUCUGGUGCUCAGAACACUCACAGCUGCAACUGAACUCCAUUGGCUCUGUGUUGGAACACACACAGUGCCAUAAAAAUGCUAAGUAUUCUGAAAAACCAGGCCCAAGGUGUCUCAAUUUGGGCAUCCAAAAUUAGUGGACACUUUUGGUCUUUAACGCUCUGUGUCUCAGGGUUGCGAGCUAUAAAAUUAAGAUAAUACCAUGCCACUCAGAGAUGUUAUGAAGAUAAAUUCAUUAAUGUUUGUGAAGUAGAUAUAAUUGUGAGAGCAUCAUAAAAACACCCUUUAGGAAAUCAGUAAUUUUGCAUUCAACUCAGGCUUGGAUGGUGUGCAUAAAGGUGUGGUCCACACAUUGAAUGAGGGGAAUAGAAAGAAAAACUGAGUAAUUAAAUCCCCAUUUACUGAACAAGGCAGAAACCUGUAGAAAAAAUAGUACCUGAUCUGUGCUACACCUAUAUAAAUUUAAUUGCAUUAAACAUAUGGGAAAUAAUGAAAAAACGUGUUUUGUUUUUAUUUCACGAUGAGUUAAUAAAUACAACCUUGAGAAGACCAAUCCUGCAGACACUUAUGCAUGUGGGUAACCUUGCUGGCAUCUCUUUGAGUUGACCAUUGACUGCAUUAGCAAAGUUUCUCCUGCGUAUUUGCAGAAUUGAACUAUACUUCUUCAAAACUAAAAUGUUAAAGGUAAUUAAUGGAAUUCAUUGGGAAAAUGGAUUCAUUUUUGCAGUACCUUUGCAUUAUUGUGGAUGGAGUUGACCUGCAUCGUCAGUUGCAUCUUCAGUGCAUGUUCUAUCAUGCUGCCUUGUUCAGACAUCUAGACGUGACUGAGAUUUAAAAAAAAAAGCAUUCCAUUCUAUACUGUUUGUCAGCCUGUCAAAAAGUUGUAUGUUUGCAGUAUUGAUGUAGCCAUAUUGGUCCCAAGAUAUUAGAGAGACGCAGUGGGUGAGGUAAUAACUUGUAUUGGACUAAAUAUUAAAUAUUACAUUAAUUUUAAUUUAUUAAUAUUACUAUUAAAAGAUAUUUUCUCAUCUACCUUGUCUUUCUAAGAAGUUGUAUAGUUUCUUGGGCUAAUUAGGGAAAACAGGUUCUUAAAAGGACUGUUAAGGAGUACAUGGAAUUUGCAUAGAAAUCAAGUUUAAUUUUGAUGAAGAAUUACAUUUACAUAAAUGGCCAUUUUUAUAGGUUAAAGCUAAUAGCUAAAAUUGAAUGUGUUGAUCAUAUGACAGAAUCAGGUGACCUCUAUAUUAAGUUUCCUCUUAGCAAAGUCAAUGACCUCAAGUUUUUGUUGGCUCUCAUUCAGUCCUGCAAUAUAGCAACAUAAUCCAGAUUAUUUUUCUAUUCCAAGUGACACUAAAGUAAACUUUAUAUUAGCUAUAACUCUUAUCAAAGUAAAUAUAGCUGCCCAAUUAAAUUAAAAUAUAGCUGCCAGUGUAUUUGUCAGAGUAUUCUAAUAUAAGUGAAAUUAUAAUUGCUUCCAAGCACAUGUGUUUUCUUGAUCUAUAGAAUGGAAUUACACCUUCAUUCAAGAUCUGGCAAUCUGGGUUUGUGGUUUCAAGGGCACCUUGCAUAGAUACAGCGGUCCACUUUAGCAGAUACUUAUGAGGGUAGGGGCCACAACAUAGCAAACCACAAAUGAAAGGAAUCUGCUUCACCAAUUAAUUAAUACCUAAAAGCACUUUGUUGUGAAGAAGUUAGGGUUGCUAUACGUAUAACAUGCCUGGCACAAACCACAAAAGUAAGGAAAUGAGAAGUUAAGACACCUAACAGUACAUAACCGUCUACUCUUCCACCCACAAGUACACACCUUACCAUUACAACUACCAUGAACACAACUUUAACUGUGCAUCACCACCUCAUCCCUUUUGCUUUUCUGCACACUCCCAUUUACCAGAUGAUUAUUUCCCCAGCACUAAUAGUUGUGUUUGCUUGGUGAAGUGGUUGUGUUGGGAGACAGUAAUUUUAUAAAGAGAUGCAUUCAGAAGGAUAGUUAAAAGUUAGGGAACAUCAGAAUUAAGGUUGCCCAUGCCAUAUGGAUUAUGAUACAGUCUUCAAUUACAUAAUUGCAAACUUUUUUAAAGCACAUCAUCCAAACUAUGCACUGAAUACAGAAUUAUUAAUUUGCUUGUGGACUUUACUAUGGUGUUCUCAUCAUAGUAUCUUAGUCCUUUACAUACAUUAAUUAUUUUUUCUUCAUUACACUCCUGUGAGGUGUAAUCAAUAUUACACAUUAGGAACCGAGGCCCAAAGAUUAAAAUCAGAAUUGUCAAAAGUGUUAACUAUUUUUGUCCAAUUUGAGAAGUCUAGGAUGUAAUUUUUCUGAGUACUUAUUGUUUUUACAGCACUUCUAAUGUUCAGGGUAGAGCUUCCAUUGGAUCUCAGUUGCAGUUGUGUGUACUCCACAUUUCUGCAAAUCAGACACCAGGUUUCUCACGUUGGGUGCCCAGAAAAUGAGAAACACACAGUAGCCAUCUCAGAAAUUUUUGCUUCAUGUGACAUAAUAAUUCUGGCAAAGGCAAGGAUGGGAUCUAAUUCUCCCGGGCAGAAUUCAAACACCUUAAGACUUUUUGUUCCCUAUCUCAUUUACCACACAUCUUCCAACUUUUGCAACUAAUGACGCUGGGGUCCUACAGACAAUAACCUCAUUCUCUACACACACAUGAUUCAUUCCCUGUACAGUACGUGCUGUGCACUGAAUGAGGCAAGGAUUCUGUUGA